rnacentral:rRNA from 1 species
AGAGACAGCAGUAGCCGCGGUAAUACAGAGGGUGCGAGCGUUAAUCGGAUUUACUGGGCGUAAAGCGUGCGUAGGCGGCUUCUUAAGUCGGAUGUGAAAUCCCUGAGCUUAACUUAGGAAUUGCAUUCGAUACUGGGAAGCUAGAGUAUGGGAGAGGAUGGUAGAAUUCCAGGUGUAGCGGUGAAAUGCGUAGAGAUCUGGAGGAAUACCGAUGGCGAAGGCAGCCAUCUGGCCUAAUACUGACGCUGAGGUACGAAAGCAUGGGGAGCAAACAGGAUUAGAGACCCCUGUAGUCCCUGUCUCUUAUAC